CAAGGGCAUGCUCAGUACGGCGAGUGAAGCGGCAAAAGCUCAAAUUUGAAAUCUAGCACCUUCGGUGUUCGAGUUGUAAUUUGAAGAUGGUAACCUUGGGUUUGGCUCUUGUCUAUGUUCCUUGGAACAGGACGUCAUAGAGGGUGAGAAUCCCGUCUGAUGAGAUGCCCAUUCCUAUGUAAGGUGCUAUCGAAGAGUCGAGUUGUUUGGGAAUGCAGCUCUAAGUGGGUGGUAAAUUCCAUCUAAAGCUAAAUAUUGGCGAGAGACCGAUAGCGAACAAGUACAGUGAUGGAAAGAUGAAAAGAACUUUGAAAAGAGAGUGAAAAAGUACGUGAAAUUGUUGAAAGGGAAGGGCAUUAGAUCAGACUUGGUGUUUUACGAUUAUCUUCUCUUCUUGAGUUGUGCACUCGUAUUUCACUGGGCCAGCAUCGAUUCGGAUGGCAAGAUAAUGGCAGUUGAAUGUGGCUUCACUUCGGUGGAGUGUUAUAGCUUCUGCUGAUAUUGCCUGUCUGGAUCGAGGGCUGCGUCUUUUGACUAGGAUGCUGGCGUAAUGAUCUAAUGCCGCCCGUCUUG
rnacentral:rRNA from 1 species